AAUGCGUAGAUAUGUGGAGGAAUACCGAUGGCGAAGGCAGCCCCCUGGGUCAACACUGACGCUCAUGCACGAAAGCGUGGGGGAGCAAACAGGAUUAGAUACCCUGGUAGUCCACGCCCUAAACGAUGUCAACUAGGUGUUGGGGAAGGAGACUUCUUUAGUACCGCAGCUAACGCGCUAAGUUGACCGCCUGGGGAGUACGGUCGCAAGAUUAAAACUCAAAGGAAUUGACGGGGACCCGCACAAGCGGUGGAUUAUGUGGAUUAAUUCGAUGCAACGCGAAAAACCUUACCUACCCUUGACAUGCCAGGAAGAUUCCAGAGAUGGGAUUGUGCCCGAAAGGGAACCUGGACACAGGUGCUGCAUGGCUGUCGUCAGCUCGUGUCGUGAGAUGUUGGGUUAAGUCCCGCAACGAGCGCAACCCUUGUCAUUAAUUGCCAUCAUUUGGUUGGGCACUUUAAUGAGACUGCCGGUGAUAAACCGGAGGAAGGUGGGGAUGACGUCAAGUCCUCAUGGCCCCUAUGGGUAGGGCUUCACACGUAAUACAAUGGUCGGUACAGAGGGUUGCCAACCCGCAAGGGGGAGCCAAUCUCAGAAAGCCGAUCGUAGUCCGGAUUGUAGUCUGCAACUCGACUACAUGAAGUCGGAAUCGCUAGUAAUCGCGGAUCAGCAUGUCGCGGUGAAUACGUUCCCGGGUCUUGUACACACCGCCCGUCGCACCAUGGGAGUGGAAUCUGCCAGAAGUAGGUAGCCUAACCGCAAGGGGGGCGCUUACCACGGUGGGUUUCAUGACUGGGGUGAAGUMGUAACAAGGUAAC
rnacentral:rRNA from 1 species